rnacentral:rRNA from 1 species
GACGAACGCUGGCGGCGUGCUUAACACAUGCAAGUCGAACGGUGAAGCGCCUUCCUUUUUGGUGGGUGUGGAUGAGUGGCGAACGGGUGAGUAACACGUGAGUAACCUGUCCCCUUCUUCUGGAUAACCGCAUGAAAGUGUGGCUAAUACGGGAUAUUCUGGGUCUGUCGCAUGAUGGGUCUGGGAAAGAUAUUGUUUCGGUGGGGGAUGGGCUCGCGGCCUAUCAGCUUGUUGGUGGGGUGAUGGCCUACCAAGGCGGUGACGGGUAGCCGGCCUGAGAGGGUGGACGGUCACACUGGGACUGAGACACGGCCCAGACUCCUACGGGAGGCAGCAGUGGGGAAUAUUGCACAAUGGGCGCAAGCCUGAUGCAGCGACGCCGCGUGAGGGAUGGAGGCCUUCGGGUUGUGAACCUCUUUCGCCAGUGAAGCAGGCCUGCCUCGUUUGUGGGUGGGUUGACGGUAGCUGGAUAAGAAGCGCCGGCUAACUACGUG